AUACGUAGGGUGCGAGCGUUGUCCGGAAUUACUGGGCGUAAAGAGCUCGUAGGUGGUUUGUCGCGUCGUCUGUGAAAUUCCGGGGCUUAACUCCGGGCGUGCAGGCGAUACGGGCAUAACUUGAGUACUGUAGGGGAGACUGGAAUUCCUGGUGUAGCGGUGACAUGCGCAGAUAUCAGGAGGAACACCGGUGGCGAAGGGGGGUCUCUGGGCAGUAACUGACGCUGAGGAGCGAAAGCAUGGGUAGCGAACAGGAUUAGAUACCCUGGUAGUCCAUGCCGUAAACGGUGGGCGCUAGGUGUAGGGGUCUUCCACGACUUCUGUGCCGUAGCUAACGCAUUAAGCGCCCCGCCUGGGGAGUACGGCCGCAAGGCUAAAACUCAAAUGAAUUGACGGGG
rnacentral:rRNA from 1 species